GCCUCUUCAAACCUUUCUAUCACUGCAAAAGGAGAAGAUAAAAUAGGUAAUUCUUCCAUAUACUGAACAGAUCUAAAACCACCAUUAGCAAAUUUAUGAAAAGCCGAGUUUUGUUUUGCAGAAACAUUAUGCAAAGAUUUUUUAAUUAAGAAAUAGCUAAAACACUAUCUUUACAUACUACCUACAUCAAACAUAAGCCCAUCUGAUACCAAUUAGGAAUAAACUCAAUGUGAUAGAAAAGGUAUCACUCUGCUCAAAAUUACCAAAAACAACCUCGAUGAGCAGCUCCAGAUGCAUUCAUUAUAUUAUAUCAUACGGUAUGAGAACUUGUCUGAGCUAGCGUGCUGAUUAUUCAUAACAUUAGCUUCCUCAUUUUUUCUUUUCCUUGCUCUUUUUCUUUCUAUUUAUUUCCCUAGAAAGCAUUAACAGAAUAAGUAUUUGCACCUCUCAUAGCAAAGUAAAGCUUUG
rnacentral:misc_RNA from 1 species